GGAGAGGUGGCAGAGUGGUCGAAUGCGGCGGUCUCGAAAACCGUUACUCCGCUUUGCGGGGUCUUGGGUUCAAAUCCCAACCUCUCCG
rnacentral:tRNA from 1 species